AUACAUUAUAUGACUGAAUUACAUGUUUUUAAAAGUGUUGUGAGAUACAUACUGAAUGUGUAUAGUGACGUGAUAUACCUAUAGUAGAAUUCAAUGGUGAAAAAAAUUUUUAUUCGAUCAUAAAUAUUCUACUAAACACUCAGACCCUGUUAAUUAGUGACAAUGGCUACCAAGCCUAGUGAGUUAAAUAGGUUUUUAAAGUUAAGAAAGAAAAUCGUAGGAGUAUCCAAAGAUAUUGCAUUUUUGAAAAAAUGCAAAAACUUUGGAAUUAUUUCAAAAUGCCGUAGAAUACGAGGUUAGCCAUCAGAGUUGUAAAUCUGAAUCGCGUACGAGCAGGUGUUCCUCAAAGUUCGAACGUAGCUAAAAUAUUGUAUAAUAUUAUCACUUCUGAUCAUCCAAAUUCAGAUUCCAACAAGUAUGAAGUUACUCCAUACAUCUGAUAAAAAGUCGGGGGGAGGUGUUCUUAUUGCUGUUUUAGCAGAAUUUGACGCCGAAAUGAUAACCACUAGGAAAUUUUAAGAAUUUGAACACGUAUGGGUAAGAAUUCAUUUAGCAGGUGAAACACAUAUUUUUGUUUCAGUAUAUUUUCCUCCUAACAAUGCCCAAAAAGCCACAUAUGAAAAGUUUCUGCAUGUUGCUGAUGAAAUAAUGACUAAGCUUCCAUCGGAAGUUUAAGUUCAUAUAUAUGGAGACUUUAAUCAGCGCAAUAUCGACUUUAUUCCAGACGCUGAAAAUGAGAGCAUUUUACUACCUCUCGUUGGGGAGAAUGAAACACUACAUUACUUAUUCAACAAAAUAUCCGGUUUAGGUCUUGAUCAAAUUAAUCAUGUAAAAAAUCAGCAAAACUGUUAUUUAGAUUUUUUAUUUACUAAUAUUCACGAUGAUUUUUGUGUAAUAGAAUCACCAACUCCAUUGUGGAAAAAUAAAGCUUUUCAUACAGCAAUCGAAUUCUCAAUAUUUAUACAUCAGAAUAAUAGACCCGACGACUACGAGUAUGAGAAGAUUUUCGAUUAUCACUCAGCAAAUUAUGAUAGUAUUAGUCUUAAGCUACGAGAAAUAGAUUGGAAAGAACUCCUUAGAAGGAAAUGUCGAAAUUUCAGUCGAUAUUUUCUACGCACGGCUGUACGACAUAAUAAAUGAACAUGUCCCAUUGAAGAAAAUUAGACAACAAAAUAAUUUAAAGUAUCCUGUUUGGUAUGACGAGCAUAUUAGAAACCUAAGAAAUCGAGAACAAAAAGCUCAUAAAAAGUACAAAAGAGAAAAUAAUAGUGACAAUUUAUCGAAUUACAUACACAUCUGUUACAUACACUUAGUUGUUUAGCAAUUGAUACUGCAUUCAAAGAGUAUAACUCAAGAACUGAACAGGAAAUAAAAUCUUGCCCAAAAAAAUUCUUUAAUUAUGUUAGAAACAAAUUGAAAUCAGAAAACUUUCCGUCAAGAAUGUAUCUACAGGAAAACAUUGGCAAUAACUCACAAGAAAUUUGUAAUCUUUUCGCUAAAUUUUUUCAACAAAUCUACACGAAGUUUUCUGAAGAUGACCGCGAUCGUGAAUAUUUUAAUUUCUUUCCAGAGUUUACUGAAGAUAUUAAUGUAAAUCAAAUCGAAGUGCUAGACAUAAUAGAUGCCCUAAACAAAUUGGAUGUCUCUAAAAGUGCCGGACCUGAUGGGAUUCCACCCAUAUUUAUGAAAAAAUUAGCAUUAGAUCUUGCAACCCCUUUGUGCUGGCUUUUUAAUAAUUCGCUUCAGUCUGGAGUUUUUCCAGACACGUAGAAAAACUCUUUCCUUAUACCAAUUUUCAAAAAUGAAAAAAAGCAGACAUAUGCAACUAUCGCGGGAUUGCUAUUCUUUCUUGCAUUCCGAAGCUCUUUGAAGCGAUCGUUAUAGACAAACUGUUUAGUCAAAUAAAAAAUAGAAUUACUCACAUGCAACAUGGAUUUUUCAAAGGACGUUCCACUACUACUAAUUUGCUUGAAUUCGUCCACUAUACCCUGACCGCUAUGGACAAGGGAAAUUACAUUGAAGCUUUUUAUACAGAUUUCAGCAAAGUCUUCGAUCGUGUUGACAUACCCAUGCUUAUGUUCAAAUUACAGAAAUUGGGAAUCUUACCAGGUCUUCUUAAUUGGUUGGAAUUUUAUCUAACAAAUCGUCAACAAAUUGUAAAAUUUAAGGGUAAAAAGUCGAGCACCAUUCACGUCAAUUCCGGGGUCCCCCAGGGAUCUCAUUUAGGUCCUCUUUUAUUUAUCUUGUUUGUUAACGACAUUUCCUUUCUUUAAAAAAAAAAUAAAAAUACUAAUAUACGCAGACGAUAUAAAACUAUUUUUAGAAAUAGAGAAAAGUGAGGAUGCCAAGGUUUAUCAUGGAGAAAUUCUUUCUUUUUAUACAUGGUGUAACAAAAGUCUUCUUCAACUACAUGUGAAAAAAUGCAGUAGAAUAACAUUCAGUAAAAAACGAAAUACACCUGACUUGAUACUUACUCUUGGAAGUCAAACAGUUAAAAAAUGCGAAAGAAUUAGGGACUUAGGAAUAAUACUAGAUUCUAAAAUGACUUUUGUUGACCAUUAUAAUACAAUCAUAAACAGAGCCAAUAACAUGCUAGGAUUCAUAAAACGAUUUUGUUACUGUUUUCACGACCCGUAUACAAUUAAAACAUUAUACAUUGCCUAUGUUCGGCCAGUACUAGAAUACUGUAGCUUAGUUUGGUCACCUUACUUAAUCACAUGGGAAGAUCGAAUAGAAUCAGUUCAAAAACAAUUUUUGUUAUUUGCACUUCGUAAAUUAGGUUGGACAAGACUACCUCUUCCGUCAUAUAAAGCUCGCUGUAUGCUGAUAAGUAUUCAAACAUUAAAAGAACGCAGAGAAUUUUCAAUGGUCUCAUUUGUAAAUGACAUUGUCUCGAAUCGCAUAGUUUCCAGUCAACUCCUGUCCAAACUAAAUUUUUACAUACCAUCUCGGCCUUUAAGAAAUCGAAAUAUUUUUAUUACAAACCACCAGCGAACAAACUAUGCACAAAAUGGGCCAAUAAAUCAAUUGAUGGCUGUAUACAACAAGCAUUCAGAAGCAGUCGAUUUCACUAUGUCAAAAAACAAACUAAAGCAAUAUUUCAGUUCUAUUCGGUAAGCCAAUUAUUAUUAUUUAACUCAUAAUAAAUUAUACAUAAUUUAGUGAUCUAUUUAGAAUAGUUUACUAAUUUAAGACGAUUAUUGUAAUUAUACUUAUGGUCUACUUUUGAUUGACGACAAAUAAAUAAAUAAAUAAAUAAAUAAACUUGUUUACUGUGUACUGGUAUAUAUAAGAAUUUCCAUUUCAUUUCUCAUUGAGCGAAACAAAUGUUUAGAUCAACGUAUGAAUCACCAAAAUGACUAAAGACUGUCCCAGAAAGUAUGGACGCAAUCAAAACCCGCUGCCAUUUCGCAAUGGUUCAGAAUCUGUCAAUUUUUAUGGCUGCGUCCUGUUGUUUACACUCUUCUCUAACCACUUGUGCAAUUGUUUAUUCGUUUUCAUUAGUUUGUUUCGAAAUACGUGGACUUUCAGCAGAACAACGUCGAAAAAUUGUGUACAAAUGGUGCACAGAACGCGGACUGUCACUGAGAAAGAUAGCAAAAAUGGAAGGAGUAAGUGAAAAUGCCGUGCGAAAUGCAAUCAGGAAGUACGGUGAGGAUAACACCUUUGAGGAUAAACCGAAAACGGGUCGAAAAAAAGGUCCUGCUAACUCUCAGUUGGAUAAACGUAUACUGAAGGCGUUCAAGCAAAAGUUGGAGGUUUCAGUUCGGGAUGUGGCAAAAAAGUGGGCACUUCGAAGUCAAAUGUUCUUCGUGCUAAAGAACGUUUGAAUCUUCGAACCUAUAAGAAGCAGAAACAACCAAAAUGUAGUCCGAAACAAGAAGCAUCGAUCAGGCCGAGGGUUCGACAGCUGAACAAUACGAUUCUUGCUGGAAAAUUGAACUGCAUAAUCAUGGACGACGAAACCUACGUGAAACUCGAAUACAAAUCCUUGCCGGGACCACAAUAUGAUACGUUGCGAGAAGGGCAAGUGUUAAACCAGACCGAGACAUCCAUUGAAGUAAAAAUAUUUGGUAAGAGAGCUAUGGUCUGGCAAGCAAUUUGUAGCUGCGGUAAGAUUUCGAAACCCUUCAUCACCACUGCUUCAAUGAACAGCGAAAUAUACAUCAAGGAAUGUUUACAAAAACGACUUCUACCCAUGAUUCGAAGCCACAAGGAUCCUGUUGUCUUCUGGCCAGAUCUUGCUUCAACGGUUGAAUGGUAUACUACCAAAAAUGUCACUUUCGUCCCAAAAGACAUGAAUCCACCAAAUUGACCACAACUUCGACCAAUUGAGGAAUUUUGGUCAU